ACCUACCCUUGACAUGUCCGGAAUCCUGCAGAGAUGCGGGAGUGCCCGAAAGGGAAUCGGAACACAGGUGCUGCAUGGCUGUCGUCAGCUCGUGUCGUGAGAUGUCGGGUUAAGUCCCGCAACGAGCGCAACCCUUAUCAUUAGUUGCUACGCAAGGGCACUCUAAUGAGACUGCCGGUGACAAACCGGAGGAAGGUGGGGAUGACGUCAAGUCCUCAUGGCCCUUAUGGGUAGGGCUUCACACGUCAUACAAUGGUCGGUACAGAGGGUUGCCAAGCCGCGAGGUGGAGCCAAUCCCAGAAAGCCGAUCGUAGUCCGGAUUGUUCUCUGCAACUCGAGAGCAUGAAGUCGGAAUCGCUAGUAAUCGCGGAUCAGCAUGUCGCGGUGAAUACGUUCCCGGGUCUU
rnacentral:rRNA from 1 species